rnacentral:rRNA from 1 species
AGUGAACGCUGGCGGCGUGCCUAAUACAUGCAAGUCGAACGGAGUGGCGCACGGGGGAGUAAUGUAUAGCUAAUCUGCGCUACACUAGAGGACAACAGUUGGAAACGACUGCGAAUACUCCAUAGUGUAGGAUGAGGCUAUAUUGUAUCAGCUAGUUGGUGAGGGAAUGGCUCACCAAGGCUAUGACGGAUAACUGGUCUGAGAGGAUGAUCAGUCACACUUGAACUGAGACACGGUCCAGACUCCUACGGGAGGCAGCAGUAGGUAAUAUUGCUCAAUGGCGUAAACCCUGAAGCAGCAACGCCGCGUGGAGGAUGUCACUUUUCGGAGCGUUAACUCCUUUUGUUAGGGAAGCGUUACCUAACGACUAAGCGCCGGCUAACUCCGUGCCAGCAGCCGCGGUAAUUC